GAUGAACGCUAGCGGCAGGCUUAAUACAUGCAAGUCAAGGGGGUAGCAAUACAACCGGCGCACGGGUGAGUAACGCGUACACAACAUACCAUAUACUGGAGUAUAGCUUUGGGAAACUGAAGGUAAUCCUCCAUAACAUUGCGAGAGGGCAUCUGAUUGCAAUUAAAGUUUCGGCGGUAUAUGAUUGGUGUGCGUUUGAUUAGCUAGUUGGUAGGGUAACGGCCUACCAAGGCGACGAUCGAAUAGGCUGGCGUGAGAGCGCGACCAGCCACACUGGAACUGAGACACGGUCCAGACUCCUACGGGAGGCAGCAGUAGGGAAUAUUGGACAAUGGAGGAAACUCUGAUCCAGCCAUGCCGCGUGAUAGAUGAAGGCCCUCUGGGUUGUAAAUAUCUUUUAUCUGGGAAGAAACACUCCUAUUCUUAGGAACUUGACGGUACCAGAGGAAUAAGCACCGGCUAACUCCGUGCCAGCAGCCGCGGUAAAGUA
rnacentral:rRNA from 1 species